GAAGUACCUAAGGGGACAGUUCAACUUCCAGCUUUUCUGUUGUGGAUGAUAUCUGUGAUAGUUAGUUCAUUAACUUGAAUUGUGAACUUGACACAACUUAGAAUCACCUGGGAAGAGGAAGCUGUGAUAAGAACUGCUAUCUGAUGGUUAAGACGGGCUUAUGCAUAAGAACUGAUGGGGUCUUUAUGAUUCUGAAGACUGUAAAGUCCUAUGAUGACAUGAAGUCUGGAUCUACAUUCACAUCCUGUUGAGACCAUGAGAAGAGAAAGAGAGUAAUCCAGUAGAACCUUCUAGAAAGGUUACAUUAGAAGACUCCAGCUGCACAGGACUGCUCAGAGUGAGAAACACUGGGACUUCAUUCUCCAAAAUGAUUGUAACAAUAUUCAGUCUUUUUAAAAGUCAUCCUGGGCUUAAGCAGUAGUGGUCUUAGAUUCAUUAGCAUCUUAGAAUGGUGUCCCUUCAGGGACUCUCCUCUCCACUAUUAUUGAGGAAAGACUGAGGAAUUGGAAAGGGGGAAGUGAAGAGACAAAGGGGAAACAAAGGGUGUGUGUGUGUAUAAACAGGUGGUUGGCAUCAUUUGGAGAUGGCUGAUAAGUUAACAUUUUAGGAGAGGGUUUUAUCAGGUUUUUGAAAGUCAUCACGAAGAAGCCAUGAGGGUAGGAGUGUCAUCCACAGGCAUGGCUGUUGAAUACAACAGUCUCACACAGCUGCAGCAAUUGAGAUGCACCGUAAGUGACUGCUCCUGCCAGCUGCUGUCUCAGCCGAGCACACUCCACUGAGAAACAGGAGGAAAGAAGGCUGCAGUUUCUUAUCAAUGGCAUGACAGAGGGGUCUGCAUGGAUCAUGCAGUUGCCAAUUUUCUGGGGUGUGGGGGAAGCAAAAUUACUCAGGUGGAGUGUGGCAUUCUGAAAAGGGAGGGGAUAAGUGUGGCACUCUGUUUGGGGGAGAAAUUAGGGACUAGGAUGAGGGACAUGGAGUGGAGAAGACAAGACCACUGCAAUGAGCAGAAAAGGUAAAAUUGAUGCAUUGUAGGGGAACAGAUCUGACACGAACAUUAAGUCACGUGGUGAUGUCAUUCUUAACAAAAGUCUCCUUGCACCUGUUAAUGCUUAACCUCUGCAGAGGUGGACUGGAGUAAUUCAGCUGGACAUAGCCGCUGAGUGCAAUUGGCUUUCUAGAUUUCCCCAAACGCCUUUCCUGUCUUAAACUAUUGAUAGUCGCAAAGAAAAGGGGUGGAGGAGCCCUUUUACUCAAGUGUGUAGAAGGCACUUUGCUCGUCUUUAAGCCCUUUGACGAAAAGUUCUUUCAGAAAAAACUUAACCUUACAAGGAUUCUAAAAAGCCUGUCUUGCUUUUAAAACUUGCUGCUCAGAGAGAUGACAGUGUGAGUUUAAUGUGUAAAGCAGACCUGGCUGUGGCUACGCAGCAUAAGUUCAAACCUGAUUGGCCCCUGUCUUCCCAGGGCGUUGACUUCUCGGCAUAAAACAGAGCGUGUGUUCAAAUGAUUUUUUAAAAAAGAUUUAUUUGUUUCUACUUUA